rnacentral:rRNA from 1 species
UACAGAGGGUGCAAGCGUUGUUCGGAAUUAUUGGGCGUAAAGCGCGUGUAGGCGGCUUUGCAAGUCGGGUGUGAAAGCCCUCAGCUCAACUGAGGAAGUGCGCCCGAAACUGCAGAGCUUGAGUGCCGGAGAGGGUGGCGGAAUUCCCCAAGUAGAGGUGAAAUUCGUAGAUAUGGGGAGGAACACCAGUGGCGAAGGCGGCUAUCUGGACGGUUUCUGACACUAAGACUCGAAAGCGUGGGGAGCAAACAGG